rnacentral:rRNA from 1 species
UACAGAGGUCUCAAGCGUUGUUCGGAUUCAUUGGGCGUAGAGGGUGCGUAGGCGGCGCGGUAAGUCGGGAGUGAAAUCUCUGGGCUCAACUCAGAGACUGCUUCCGAAACUGCUGUGCUGGAGUGUGGGAGAGGCGCGUGGAAUUGCAGGUGUAGCGGUGAAAUGCGUAGAUAUCUGCAGGAACACCCGUGGCGAAAGCGGCGCGCUGGCCACUACUGACGCUGAGGAACGAAAGCUAGGGGAGCAAACAGG